GAUGAACGCUGGCGGCGUGCCUAAUACAUGCAAGUAGAACGCUGAAGGAGGAGCUUGCUCUUCUGGAUGAGUUGCGAACGGGUGAGUAACGCGUAGGUAACCUGCCUGGUAGCGGGGGAUAACUAUUGGAAACGAUAGCUAAUACCGCAUGACAACAGUUAUUGCAUGAUAACUGUUUAAAAGGGGCAACUGCUCCACUACCAGAUGGACCUGCGUUGUAUUAGCUAGUUGGUGAGGUAACGGCUCACCAAGGCGACGAUACAUAGCCGACCUGAGAGGGUGAUCGGCCACACUGGGACUGAGACACGGCCCAGACUCCUACGGGAGGCAGCAGUAGGGAAUCUUCGGCAAUAGACGGAAGUCUGACCGAGCAACGCCGCGGGAGUGAAGAAGGUUUUCGGAUCGUAAAGCUCUGUUGUAAGAGAAGAACGAGUGUGAGAGUGGAAAGUUCACACUGUGACGGUAUCUUACCAGAAAGGGACGGCUAACUACGUG
rnacentral:rRNA from 1 species